rnacentral:rRNA from 1 species
UACAGAGGGUGCGAGCGUUGUCCGGAAUCACUGGGCGUAAAGGGCGCGUAGGCGGCUUGAUAAGGUUGCGGUGAAAGCCCGGGGCUCAACCCCGGGUCGGCCGUGGCAACUGUCGAGCUGGAGCACUGUAGAGGCAGGUGGAAUUCCGGGUGUAGCGGUGGAAUGCGUAGAGAUCCGGAAGAACACCGGUGGCGAAGGCGGCCUGCUGGGCAGUGGCUGACGCUGAGGCGCGACAGCGUGGGGAGCAAACAGGAUAGAA